CGUGUAGGCGGUAUUGUAAGUCAGAUGUAAAAGGCUACGGCUUAACCGUAGAUUGUCAUUUGAAACUGCAGUACUUGAGUGCGAGAGAGGGUAGUGGAACUCCCAGUGUAGCGGUGAAAUGCGUAGAUAUUGGGAAGAACACCAGUAGCGAAGGCGGCUACCUGGCUCGUAACUGACGCUAAUGCGCGAAAGCGUGGGGAGCGAACAGGAUUAGAUACCCUGGUAGUCC
rnacentral:rRNA from 1 species